rnacentral:sRNA from 1 species
CCGGGGGCUCACGCCCCCGGCUACGAUCUUCCGGCCCUUCGGGCCU